UCUAUCCAGGAAUGAAAAUGGGUGAAAUAUUUUCUCUUUUUGAGACCAAGCCAGGUUAUGAUUCAUAUGUGACGGAUCUGUAUAUAUCAAAGAGUUCAAGAACUUCUCCUGAUGACAAAUUAUAUUUAUUUGUUGCUCGAACGGAUAAUGUAGAGACAUCAUCAUGCCUCAU